rnacentral:sRNA from 1 species
UCUCUUACGAGGCGGCGCGCCCUAGCGCA